rnacentral:lncRNA from 10 species
UGCAGGGCCUGGUGCGGACCCAGUGCUCCAGACGGCUCUGCUGAGUAAAGAACAGGAGAAUAAACAAGUUGUGUUCCCCUGCCGUGGUCCACGCUGGGCUCCUUGUGGACAUACCUGUCUCGUGAGGCAGUGAGACCCCUUUGACAUUCCAGGCUGGAGCACGGGCUCCCCAAAGGCCAGGAACGAGUCUGGUUUCUGGAACAGCACUGUCUCCUCAGCACCUAGACCUGGGCACAUAGCAGACAACCAAGGAAUGCCCAUCAACGAGAGGAGGCCUCACCUCAUGGCGGCCAUGUGGGGCAGGAAUGACUGUAAUCCCCCCUAACCAAUGGAACAGCUAAGACUCAGAGAGGGAUUUCUCUCCAGCAAUUUCACACCCGUAUGAAAGUGUCUUGUACACAUCCCCCUACCCCCAAAUCAUCAUUCAACAGGUUAUCAUUGUGUCCAGCCUUGUGUGAGGGGCAUAAGCCUCCGUCGUUGCUCUGGGACCUCGUUGCUGACCCUGGAUGACAGACCACUGCCUAGGAUGAAAUUCCCCUCUGGAUGGAUGGCUUCUGGUUUGGUGAUGGAAUGGAUUCCAGGGCCUCUGAGGAAGGCAGGAAGCCUUGGGACUUGGCAAUCUCCACAGGAGAUGGGGUGUGUGCUAGGUGAGGCCCCCAUCACCAGGAGCAAGGCCUGGUCCACCCUGAGACCCAGCGCCCACUUACUGUCCAUGCCUUCACCUUGCUAAGUUAGUGUGUGGUCCACUUGCUAAGAGAAACAACAGGUAUUAAGGGUUUAAGAAAAAAUGAAACCCAAAACAAGCUCUGAAGUUCUGUAGACCUUGGCCAACUCUCAGCACAGCCACUUACUUGCUAGCUAAUCUUGAGCACGUCCCUUAACUUCUCUAACCUUUUUCCUCCAUUCGUAAAACUGGGAAAAUUUGCAUCUUUUUCGUGCAUUCGUUUUGAGAAAUAGAUGGAUAUGUGUGUGCCUGUCAGCUCGACGCUGGGUGCAGAGUGAGUGCGCUAAGCACGGUGGCUUCCUUGACUGUAGAGAUGCAUCCUAGCUCCUGCCUGGUCUGUCCCAGGUGGACAGAGGUGAUGGCAUCUGGAGGGGUCCCACCUCCAAUGUCUUAAUCCAGGGCCUUUCUGUGGCAUAGUGCUGAGCCAGCGUACUGAAAGGCCACAGAGAGGUGCAGCAGGUGGCGAGUUGAGCCCCCACCUCCCCAACCCCAGUGAUUUUCCCUGAAAAGACACCCCAUGCUUUGUUUUGUUGUCUGGCUUAUGUAAACUUGCCUCUUGUUUUAUAGUUGCUUCCCCAGCUUUAAACUAAAGGCUGUUAUUGACAGCCUAUAGUUGCUUCCCCAACGGCCAAUCCCUCCAGCUCCCCUCCUGCUUCCAGGCAAACAACCCCAGUCAUAAGGGCCUGCGAUGUUCCCAGUCCCAGGGAAUGAGUCCUGAUUGGUCUAAGACAGCUAAGACAAUUCUUUUCUACUUUAUCAAAUACAGAUGACCCCUGAACAGCACCAGUUUGAACUGGGGGGUCCACUUAUAUGUGGAGUUUCUCUCUCUGCCACCUCUGGGACAGCAAGACCAAUGCCUCCUCCCCCUCCUCCUCCUGAGCCUACUCACUGUGAGUAGGAUGAAGACCUUUAGGAUGAUCCAUUUCCACUUAAUCAAUAGCAGAUAUAUUUUCUCUUCCUUAUGAGUCUUUUAACAACAUUUUCUUUUCUCUAGCUUAUUUUAUUGUAAGAAUACGGUGUUGAAUGCAUAUAACGUGCAAAUACAUGUUAAUCAACUGUUUAUGUUACGGGUAUGGCUUCUGGCCAACAGUAAGCUAUUAAUAGUUAAGUUUUGGGGAAGUCAAAAGUUAUAUGCAAUUUUUUGACUGCACAGGGAGUCAGCACCCCUCACUCCUCAUUGUUCAGGGUCAACUGUACUUGGUUUCCAAGCCUCCCUUAUAAGUCGGUAUGGCCAUGGGACCCAGUUUUAGAUGUGAGAAGAGAAGAAGGGUUGCAUCUGGGAAGGAUUUCUUUCUGGAUGAAAGAUAGUCUUUUGAGGAGCGGCUCCUUGGUCCCUGCCCUGUCCCUCCUGCUGGAGAUGCUGCAUGCAAGGGCCUGAUGUCUGGAAUUGAAGCAUCCAUGUGGUGACCAUGAGACAAGAAGCAUGACAAUAAAAUUUCACUGGGUGGAAGAAUGAGGAAGUCUGGAUUCUUGAUGAUACUGUUGCCGUCUGAACAUGCCCUGUGACCCUGUACUUCUGGGCAUCUGGUUACAUGAGCAAUAAAUAUUCUUACGGCUAAAACCA